CUCUGGACUCCCAGCUUCUAGGUCACUGGGGACUGUCAUAAAUACUUUCCCCCUUUCCCUUCUGGAAAGCAGAGGCUGGACAGGCCGUAUCCGCUCUGGGGCCUGAGCCCUAUCUUUUAGGGGAUGGGGGGAUAUCUCAACAUUUUAUGGGCCAGCGAAAACCCUGCCACAGAGCUAUCCUUCCGGGCCUUUGUGUCUUGGAAUGCAACUGUCCAGAGUGUGCUGCUGCCUGCACCGCCUGCUCUGAGAGCCCACCAGUCCCCAAACCCUGGCUGGACUUGAUUUCCCCUUUCGAGGGUCCCUCGCCUUUUCUCUCUUUAGUUCAUUUGAUCGUUUGUUUUCUACAUGUAUCUGGUUGAUUUCGCUCCUGGAGCCUGGAAAUAAAGGAACCGCAAGCAGCCAUCCUUGCUGGGGCGUCUCCGUCCCUCGCCCCGAGGCCUGCACCGCCCUCCUAGCGAUUAUUUUCAACGCCCGCCCUUCUGAGCCUCCCGAAUCUGCUGGCAGAGCGUGGGCCCGUCUCCUGCCGCCACUCGCGAUUUAUUUACACCUCGCAGAGACACUGUGCAAAAGGAACUGCCGCGAUUUUCCCCGCAACCAGGCGCAUUUCUGGCCUCGGAACACCGCGCACACAGACGCACGCACCGAAGCUCCCGCAACCGCCUUCCCGUGGAGCGCACCCUAAAAUCCUCGCUCCUCUUACCCUGCCGCUGGCUCCGUACCGCCUAUUCCGCCGCCGCCUGCAGGACGUUGGGGUGGGACUCUGGCUUCUCCCGGGUCUUUGCCCCCUGGUUUGUGGCCCAUCCCUCUCUCACGCGCGCUCUCUCUCCACCUCUCCCUCCCAGCCAGUGAGGUCCUGUUCUCCGUGGGCCAUAGACAAAACAUUCCUAUAAUCCGAUUUCAAAGGAAAGAGUGUCCACCUUAUUUAAACCAUAAAACAAUUAAGCCCAGACGUCUAGCCAGCUCCGCGCUGCUGUUUUGUUCGGCCCCAUUCAGAAUCCAGCGCAGGGAGACAAACAGCGCCAUAAAAGUGGCAUUUCGGGGCCUCGGAAAUGUACCUACCCUCUGCCUUCCCAAGUGGAACAACUUUUAGGGUUUUGUGAUUCUGACAAAGGAGAAGAGGAGAGGUGGGAGGGGAGGAUUAGGGCAGGGGGGCGUUUGCAAGCCCCUCUUUCGUCCCCAGCUUUCGUUUCUUUCCCCAGAUGUGUGUCGUGUUGUUGUGGUUUGAGUUCACAAAUGACAAUAAAUAAAAAUCGAAUCCAAUCCUGACCUGCAGGCUGGAGGCUGAGCUGGUACUGAACCGUGGGCUGGACCGCAUGGGCCUGCUCUGGAUCCCACGCUCUGGUCAGGGCCCUCCUUCCUGCCCAGAGCCAGACCGGCUCGGGCGGGCCGCAGGAAGCAGGCCGCGCUGACGGACGGACGAGGGGAGGCGACAGGGCCUUGGAGCAGGGGCGGGGUGGAGGCCCGGAAACACCGCCGAGCUCGGGCCGGGAGAGGAGCUUGAGUCCCCGCGGUCAGGACCGAGGGAGAUGGGUGGGUGCCUUGUCCUCCGCGCGGGGUGCAACUGAGGCCGGGGUCCCAGAGGAGGAGCGAGGUAGCCAGAAAACUACAGGCAAAGCACCUUUCAAAAGGACCAAGAAAACAAUCGCUUCUGGAAUUGGGAGGUCUCUUCUUAAGCGGGAAAGAGGAGGGGUGCCUCAGCGACUGGGAAAACCAAACCGCGACUUCUGAUUGUCUCCCUCAAAAUAUUAUCAAAAAGAAAACGUUCACCUCUUCCCACCUUCCUCCAGCCCCUGAAACUGGACUAUUUAAUAGGAGGAGCGGGUAGGAGAUUCAAAUGAUGGGAAGGGGCUGGUCCCUACAAGUGCCUCACCAAUCCUGUAAGGUGAUGCCAUGGGGGGAGCUGCUUAGGAAUUGGGGUCCCCAAUUAUUUUCUUUUACGGUGGUAUUCCCCAAGUAUUCAGAGCAACACCCUGCACCCUCGCCAGAAUGGGCAGCCUGAGAUAUUAAAGGGCUAUAUUUCAAGCAGUCUGAGUUUAAUAGUUUCCAGAUUGGGGGAUUUCCGAGAAAGGGGGCGCUGGGCCGAAGCAUACCCGGCAGCUUGAGUCUGCUUCUGAUUAGCAGAUGAAAACUGGUGGUUUUGGGGAAGGCGCUCCCUCGGGGUGCUAGGCAGUCAAACAUCCCCACUGGGCUGUUGUUACACACACAUAUUCCCCAGUCUUUGCCCCUGGGGUCCCACAGCCACCAGAGAACACCCCACUUCUGGCUAGCCCCUGGCCAGCUUCCCUUGGCCCUAGCCUCGGGAUCUCCUAGAACUACUGUGAUUGCUCAGCAUAACCACUGUCACCCCCAGAUCAACAUUCAAACUUCACCCCCAGAUCAACAUUCUAAGCACCAGAGAGAGAGAGGUUGAAUAGACUAGAGAGAACUAGGAGAUGGAGAGAGGAACUGAGAAUACACUGAGAAAUAGAAACUAAAUCCAAUCUUGAUUGCAUUGGUUUUGCCAUCUUUCUUCUCUCUCCCUCCUUUCCUUCCUUUUCUUUCUUCCCUCUCUACUCUCUCCCUGCUCUCUCUCUGCAUCUUCUUUCACUCUCAAUGCCCAGUGCCUGUCCAGUUCCCUGAGGCCUGCAGGGCCUUCCUCUUCAUCCUUCACCGCACACCCUCUUUAGCAGCCUCCCCCCCACCAAGACACCCCUCAAAGCACCGAUGCAGCCAGGCAAGAAUCCAGCCCCGGCCUGCACCCAGCACGCAACCUUCAUCUUUACCUAUCUCUUCCCUCCGAUCUCAUGUACUCAUAAAUUAUUACAAUUAAUUACAGCCAAGGAAAACCAUUCAUGCCGUACCCCCACCCCCAGGGACUCCAUCGAGCUACCAGGAGACUCACAGGCAGCCAGCCAGGGCAGGCACAAGCUGCACCCGGGCCUCAGCAGCCUCCACCGCACCCCGGGAGCCUCUUAGCCCCAUCACACCCUGCCUGGAGAGAAGUGGC